rnacentral:rRNA from 1 species
UGCGUAGGCGGCCCGAUAAGUUGGGUGUGAAAUCCCUCGGCUCAACCGAGGAAUUGCGCCCAAUACUGUCGGGCUUGAGGAAGGCAGAGGUGAGCGGAACUCAGGGUGGAGCGGUGAAAUGCGUUGAUAUCCUGAGGAACACCAGUGGCGUAAGCGGCUCGCUGGGCCUUUUCUGACGCUGAGGCACGAAAGCUAGGGGAGCGAACG